AACGUAGGAGGCAAGCGUUAUCCGGAGUUACUGGGCGUAAAGCGUGCGUAGGCGGAUGGAUAAGUGGGUGGUGAAAGCGCUCGGCUAAACCGGGCGAGGACCGGUCAGACUGUUCGUCUCGAGGCGGAUAGAGGGGUGCGGAAUUCCGGGUGUAGCGGUGAAAUGUGUAGAGAUCCGGAGGAACACCAGUGGUGCAAACGGCGCCCUGGGUCCGAACUGACGCUGAGGCACGAAAGCGUGGGGAGCGAACGGG
rnacentral:rRNA from 1 species